GUCCUUCCUAAUCGUCAGAGUUAUAGAUUAACUGGUCGCUAUGAAUAAGAGUCAGCAUAAGGCUAGGAUACCGUCGGAGUUUAUUAAUGCAAAUUAAUGAGAGAUCGCGCAUUCUUUUAUAGGAUUCCGUGCAACUUGUGAGAUUGUGCUGGAUUGCCCCGAUUGAGGCAUAGACAGUGAUAUUGAUAAGACUCGAUUAUUUUACUGCUGAGUAAAAAUGCUUUGAUGUGAUUGCCUGUAGAUUUCUCCCGAACUAUCCACGAAGGCAUUAAUGAAUUAGGAAAAGAAAAUGGAAAUAAAGGAGUUUAAGUAAAAAGUGUUACGAAAGGGAAAGCAAUAUCAUUAUUGAUCGUGAGCGUGUCAAGAUAGUUUAUUCGAAAUGUUUAAACAGUCUCAUGUGUGAUCCUUUGUCCUGGUGAACGUGUGGACUCAUGAGAGUUGCACUGAUAUUUGAAGGACAAACUCUUGGCUCGUCGUACCUAAGAGUCUACUUUCACAGUUUAUUUAUUGCCCAUUUCGACAUAUUAUUGAAGACAAGCAAGUAUCCAAGAAGUUCCCAAAAGCAGAUAUUUCGAACAGUAAUAUAUAUAUGACCCUUAGGAGAAAGUACUGAGAAUAACUGAGGGACACAUGUGUACGUCACAGUAUAUGAUACAUAUAUAAAUAGAUAUAUAUAAUAGAAAGAUAUAUGUUAUAUAUAUAUACACACACACACACACACAUGCCAUAAUUAAUUUCUGUAUAUUUUUACAUCGAUCUAUAAUGUAUUACAUAAAAUAUUCAUAUUGUUACGCUAUUAGUCUCCAUUUCGAAGAAUCCAUCCUUCAUUGCCCUCUAAAUCACAUUAGAUACUUAGAAAAAAAUCUUACAAAGAAAAAUGCCUGUUGACACAUAAAACAUUCGUUAUAAGCAUGUUAUAAGAAAUGUUCGUUAUAAGAAAUAAAAUAAAAGAAGCUAAGAAUAAAAAGUAAUUGUUAUAAUAAAUAAUUUUGAAAAGAAUGCAAAAUUUAAUUGACAAGAAUUUGACUUAACAGACGAAUUUACAUAUAUGGCUUCAUUAAUCAUACGUCAUAUAUAUAUAUAUAUAUAUAUAUAUAUAUAUAUAUAUAUAUAUAUAUAUGCGUGUGUCGUACAUAUACACACACAUACACUCUUCAUACGCGCUUGUACACGAGCGUAAAAAAAUUUCGCCUUGUCAACAAAAAGUAAUACAACGGCAACUCAAGAUUGAAUAGGACAUUUUUUUUGAACGUUCUGAGGAAAUUAAAAUUGUUAUUUACAAUCUACGGUGAAGGUGAAAGAUAAACCUAAAGGUGAAAGAAAUCGGUAAAGCAUCAUUUAUCGGCAAUCGAAGGAGAAAAUAAGAUACAUAUUCUCAUAUAAGCUUUACGUAAUGCUAUCUAAUACUAUAAAACAUUAACUAUAUGAAUGAAUAAAGAAUUAAUAUUAUACACUAGCUAAC